CAGUAGCCGCGGGAAUACGAAGGGUGCAAGCGUUACUCGGAAUUACUGGGCGUAAAGCGUGCGUAGGUGGUGGUUUAAGUCCGUUGUGAAAGCCCUGGGCUCAACCUGGGAAUUGCUGUGGAUACUGGGUCACUAGAGUGUGGUAGAGGAUAGUGGAAUUUCCGGUGUAGCAGUGAAAUGCGUAGAGAUCGGAAGGAACAUCUGUGGCGAAGGCGACUAUCUGGGCCAACACUGACACUGAGGCACGAAAGCGUGGGGAGCAAACAGGAUUAGAUACCCCAGUAGUCCCUGUCUCUUAUAC
rnacentral:rRNA from 1 species